rnacentral:rRNA from 1 species
UACGGAGGGAGCUAGCGUUGUUCGGAAUUACUGGGCGUAAAGCGCGCGUAGGCGGUUUUUCAAGUCAGGGGUGAAAUCCCGGAGCUCAACUCCGGAACUGCCCUUGAAACUGGAUGACUAGAAUCCUGGAGAGGUUAGUGGAAUUCCGAGUGUAGAGGUGAAAUUCGUAGAUAUUCGGAAGAACACCAGUGGCGAAGGCGACUGACUGGACAGGUAUUGACGCUGAGGUGCGAAAGCGUGGGGAGCAAACAGG